AGAGUUUACAGUCAAAUAGGGGAAGCAGAGAUAUAGUUAAGUAAGGUCAUAUACUGUUUGAUAAGGCAGCAAUAAAAAUAUACGCAAAGAACUUUUUCUUCUUGGUGGUUCACUUCUCUUCCCUGGAAUCAGCUUCUAAAUAAACUACCUACACACAAUUCCUAUCUUAGGCACUGAUUUUCAGAGAGCCUAAAAUAAGCUAGUUGAUAUCAGGAUUAGCUCUAGAAAGUAGACUUUUAGGAUGUGAUUCUAGAACAAUCACUACUCGUCAAAUAGUAAGAAGUACCUAUUGCUGGUAGUAAGUGGAUGAUUCCUCAUGAUAACCUAUGGCAUCCUGAAGGAUCACAGCAAAAAAAAGUCACCUGCUAUAGAUUUGGAUGGGUUACAGAUGGGAGGUGAAGUAGUUGUUCAUGUAAUAGUUCGCACCUGAAUGUUAAGGGGUAUUGGUCAUUCAAAGGAUUAUAGCACUGGCUGUGGAAAUCUUCAAGAAAAAAAACGACAGGCUCAGUUCAGCCAACUGUUAACUCAGAGUAAACCAUAAAAGCCAAAGUUUCUUCAUGGCAGCACUUAAAGAGAUUCUCUUCUCAUGGGGUCACAGAGAAGACUAAGUUGAAAAUCAUGCCUACUCAGUGCCUACUCAUACCUAGUUAGGAGAGCUAAUGAGAGACUGAAUGCACACGUGUGAUGGGUUUCCUAUGCAAAAAUGUGAUUCCUGAUAAGGACUACUUGGGGUGGGAUCAUUUGGUUGGAUGAGAUCUAAAAAGCUUGAAAUUCAAGAUCCUCUAAAGGGGCUAGUGUCGGUAGGCUCUUCCCCUUGGUAUAGGGUGAAAGGAAGCAGUCAUCCCUUCUCAGAAUCUAUUCCUCAAAGACCUGACCUGAGGAUGAUGUCUUGAAAGGAAACACUUGCCACCCUCCUGAGAGCCACCCUCACCUUGCCUCAUUCCUCUAGAAAAGAGCGGUGAAGGCUUGAGGAGCCACCACCCGGUUGGGCCAGCUCGGUCUGCCUCCUGCCUGCAGCUGCCACAGGUCCGGCCGGGGUGCACAAGCAGUUACCCAGAGUUACCCAGGCCAACUCUAAUGGAAGCCAGGCAUCAAGACAACCAGAGUGAUGCACUGUGUCUUGGUGAGCUCCUGGAGCCCAGGUCAGCACAAGAGCAGCCUGUAAGUCAUGAAGAUGUUCACAUCUCUGGAGGCUGGAUUGCAUUUAAACCAUUCCAGAUGGAUGAGGGAAGUGCCUUAGGAGAAGGAAGAAACAAUCCCACAACCCCUCUUAGUAACUCAUCCCCUGUUUGACAAAUCUUGCCACUGGGUCUUUGUAGUUAGUCCCACUUAUCUGCUGCGAUCCCCACCCCCAACUUCUGGUUUCAUCAUUAAUGGAGAUUGGAACCAGCUGGCCUCCCUCUUCUGUGUAAGGGGUUUU